rnacentral:tRNA from 1 species
GGCACUUUGGCGUUGUGGUUAACGCGAUGCCCUGCUAAGGCAUUUCCCUCGGGAGCGUGUGUUCGAAUCACACAGGUGUCG